rnacentral:rRNA from 1 species
CCCUUAGAUGUUCUGGGCUGCACGCGCGCUACACUGAUGCGCUCAACGAGUUUACGACCUUGCCCGGAAGGGUUGGGUAAUCUUUUUAAAACGCAUCGUGACGGGGAUAGAUUAUUGCAAUUAUUAAUCUUCAACGAGGAAUGCCUAGUAGGCGCAAGUCAUCAGCUUGCGUCGAUUACGUCCCUGCCCUUUGUACACACCGCCCGUCGCUCCUACCGAUUGGGUGUGCUGGUGAAAUGUUCGGAUCGGCCGUUUGUCGCGGUUUCCGCGUCAUGUGGCUGAGAAGUUCAUUAAACCCUCCCACCUAGAGGAAGGAGAAGUCGUAACA